GCAUCCAUGGCUGAAUGGUGAAAGCGCCCACCAACAAUGGGUAAAAAAGUAGGUUCGAUUCCUGCCGGAUGCA